rnacentral:lncRNA from 10 species
GCCUGGUCUGACACCCAGGCUGAAGUGCAGUGGUGAAAUCUCGUCUCACUGCAACCUCUGCCUGGGCUCAGGCGAUCCUCCCAGCUCACCUUCCUGAGUCCCUGAGAUUACAGGUGCCUGAGACAAGACUCAGCUAAUUUUUCUAUUUUUCAUAGAGAUAGGGUUUUGCCGUGUUGCCAAAGCUGGUCUUGAACUUCUGGACUCAAGCAAUCCACCUACCUUAGCCACCCAAAGUGCUGGAAUUACAAGCGUGAGCCACUGCACCCAGCCCUUUGCCCACUUUUUUAUGGGGUUGUUUGUUCUUUUCUUGUAAAGUUGUUAAAGUUCCUUAUAGAAGCUAGAUAUUAGACAAUUUUCAGAUACAUAAUUUGCAAAUAUUUUCUCCUAUUCUGUAGGUUGUCAGUUGACUCUGUUGAUAGGUUCUGUUGCUGUGCAGAAGCUCUUUAGUUUAAAUAGAUCCAUUUGUCAAUUUUUGCUUUUCUUGUGAUUGCUUUUGGCAUCUUUGUCAGGAAUCUUUUGCCUAUUUCUACAUUCGGUAUGGUACUGCCUAGGUAGACUUCCAGGGUUUUUAUAGUUUUGGGUUUUACAUUUAAGUCUUUAACCCAUCUUCAGUUGAUUUUUCUAUAUAACGCAAGAAAGUGGUUCAGGUUCAAUCAUCUGCACGUGGCUAGCUAGUUAUCCAAAAAUUAUUUCCAUUGCUUGUUUGGUCAACUUUGUCAAAGAUCAGAUUGCUGUAGGUGUGGGACCUUACUUCUUGCCUCUCUUUUCUGUUCCAUUGGUCUAUGUGUCUGUUUUUAUGCAAGUACUAUGCUGUUAGGUUACUCUGGCCCUAUAGUGCAGCUUGAAGUUGGGUAAUGUGAUGCUUCUAGCUUUGUUCUUUUUGCUUUGGAAUAUCUUUUAUUCAACCCACUCGGUUCAAUUAAUAUUUAAAAUAUUCAUUUUAAAAUAGAUUGUUCUAAUUCUGUGAAGAAUGUUAUUGAUAGUUCAAUAGGAAUACCAUUGAAUCUGUACAUUUCUUUGGGCAAUGUGGUUGUUUUAAUGAUAGUUAUUCUUGCUAUCUGUGAGCAUGGAAUGUUUUUCCAUUUGUUUGGGUCUUCUCUACUUUUUUAAGCAGUGUUUUGUAAUUCUCAUUGUAACAAUCUUUCACCUCCCAGUUAGUUGUAUUCCUAGAUAUUCUAUUCUUUUUAUGGAAAUUGUGAAUGGAAUUGCAUUCUUGAUUUGGCCCUGUGGUUCGUUGUCUUUGGCAUGUAGGAAUUCUAGUGAUUUUUGCACAUUGAUUUUGUAUGCUGAAACUUUGCGAAAGUUGUUUACCAGCUUAACGAUCGUUUGGGUGGAAACUGUGAGGUUUUCCAGAUAUAGAAUCAUAUCUCUAAACAUGGAUGGUUUAACCUUGUUCUCUAUUUGGAUGCCAUUUGUUUCUUUCUCUUGCUGAACUCUCUGGCUGGUACUUCAAAUACUAUGCUGAAUAAAAGUGGUGAUAGAAGGCAUUGCAGAAAUUGUGGUUUGAAAAUCCAAAUUCAUUUCCUGCUCCAUAUAUCAUGCAUAUUUUGAGCUGCAAUUUAUCAAAUACAAAACAAAACAAAAAAUUUAUCUCCUAAUUCUGUUUUAUUAGCCCCUCACUUGCAAAUACAGGCCUAGAAGCACCAGUGCUCAGCAUCACGGACAGCACCCCAGAGGAAACAGCUUUGGUGGACUUAGGCAUCAAGGACAUUUUCAAAGACUAGAUUUAUUCUUUGGGGGCUUUCAGCAAAAACUGAAAAGCCCUCCAGACCUUUCAGAAGGCAAGGCUUUAGAGUCCAAGAAUAACCUUCUGUGUUUUGAGCAAUGCUAUAUUUAGUGGGAAUGCUGUAUUUAGUGAAUUUAGGUUGAGGAGCAUGAAAAAGAUGUUGAGUAGGUCCCCAGAGGCAAAUCAAAACUUGCUUGUUGAACAUUGCUUCCUGGUCUCUAUGUGUUAUCUUUUUAUCUGAGACAUCACUCCUGGCUACCAUGAGCACAGGAUAGUAGGUAGUAUAAAGAUGAGUGUAACAAAUGGCCUAUGUGAACUGAACUGAGCUGGUGAAUAUCAGUUAAGAAAAGGCAGUCACUGUGUGUUUGUCUAGCACAGGCAGCAUGUAGGACCCUGUAGGUUAUUCAAAUACAAUUGGAAUCAUCCAGGGACAUAUAGAUAUGAAAUUAAACUCAUGUUCUGCUCAGAAAUUCAUGGGUUCUGGCCAGGCGCAGUGGCUCACGCCUGUAAUCCCGGCACUUUGGGAAGCCGAGGUGGGUGUAUCACCUGAGGUCAGUAAUUCGAGACUAACCUGGCCAACAUGGUGAAACCCCUUCUCUACUAAAAAUACAAAAAUUAGGCGGACAUGGUGACAGAUGCCUCUAAUCCCAGCUACUUGGGAGGUUGAGGCAGGAGAAUUGCUUGAAACUGGAAGGUGGAGGUUGCAGUGACCCGAGAUCACACCACUGCACUCUAGCCUGGGCAACAAGAGUGAAACUCCAUCUCAAAAAAAAAAAAAACUUCAUGGGUUAUGGGUUCCAAGAUAGUCUUAAUCCACUCUGAGCAAGAAUUGCCUAAUUGCCCAAAAAUGACUUCCAUGCUGGUGAGGAGGCCUAUGCUCCAUCAUCAAAAUAGAGAAGUGACCAAAACUGUGAGUGGGAUGAUACAAGGAGGUGACCACAGCUCCUGUAUCGAGAAAAGGGCUGUCAUUGUGUCAUCUUGGUAGGAGUUCCAAGAAACUGACAAUAGAUGGUGGAGCCAAUUGUCACAGGGAACCACUUUCAGAGAAGAUGAAAAUAGGGUCCAAUAAUGUGGACGAGUGACUGCUGCCUAUUUUCUUUUUUGUUCUUGUUUGUUUUUAUUUGUUUCUUUGUUUUAAUCUCUAUUCAUGUUUAAUGUGCUAGCACAGUUUCUUUCAUUGGAUGUAAGUCUUGCAUAUCAAUUCAAGGAAGAUCACUUAGUCCAACUUAAUGAAAAAUAUAUCCUUUAAGUACUUAUGGAAACACAAGCGGCACACAUCAAGACAGUAUUUUUGGAUAAGGCCAUGCUGGUUUGAGCAGAUGUAACAAGAGUGAGAACCCUGGCUGAAUUUUCGUGGGUAGCUCCAGUAGAGCUAUUGGUGACCAUCUUGCUUUCAGGGUGCUGUUUAUUAUUUUUUGCCCUUCUAAAAUAGAUGUGUCCACUGCAUUUUCCUAUAUCUGUUUCAGUCUUGUAUGUUUGAUUUGUAUAGGGGAGGUAAUGUAUUCAUUUAAUGCAUAUGUUGAGAGAAAGUGCACCUGAUAAUUUGUAGUCACCUCAUGGACACCAGAUCCUGAUUAAACGAUAAGACUCUAAACUUCAAUCUGAGCCUGUUUCUGUAAUCAUAUUGCAUUCAGUGGUUCCUUACAGGAUAGUGUUUUUGGAAUGUGGAAAGCAUUUAAGCCACUGAGGAAUGAGUGGGAAUAGUUGCCAAAAAUGCUCCCUCAUGACAACAGGUCAAAAUAACCACAGCUUAUGGAAUCCCCACCCU